CCGAUGAGGUGGAAACGGACAGAGCUGGCGUAUCUGGCCUGCAUUCAGCCGCUGCGCGUCGGGCCCCGGUUUGCCGCACUCCAGAUUGGGAAGGUGGCUGGGCUGCUGGCGUGCUUGUGGUGCAUUUGCAGGUGGAGUGCGCUGAGGCGCUCGGCUCAGCGGCAUGAGCUCGGCCUUGAGGCCAACCGUGCAAGUGGUCUGGUACCCGGGUCGGGGGAGUGUUGUUUGGGCUGAGUGUUCGCUUGGGCACUGGUUUCGGGCCCGGGUGGGUGCCGAGCUGGCGGUCGACGUCGGUCGCAUGCGACACGUGUCAGCAAUCAGUUCGGUCCUGCUCGAGCUCUCGCGUGUCCGGCCUCGGUGUAAAAGCCGGUCAUCUGUCCGACCCGUCUUGAAACACGGACCAAGGAGUUUAGCGUGUGCGCGAGUCAUUGGGCGUUGAAAACCCAAAGGCGCAAUGAAAGUGAAGGUCUGCCUUGUGCAGCUGAUGUGUGAUCCUGGGUGCUGCGGUGCCCGGGCGCAACAUAGUCCCGUCCCGACUGCAUGCAGUGGGGCGGAGACAGAGCGUACGCGCUGAG
rnacentral:rRNA from 1 species